GCAGGUCUGGGUUGGUCUCGCAUAGGCUCCAGUCCACAUUGCCAUCACAGUGAGUCUUCUCAAACAUGUUGUCCAGCACUUCCCUGACAGUCUGCCUCUCAUCGACCAUCAGAGUCUUGGAGCUGCCGUCAUUCAACAUCACCUUCACCACCAACUACAGACUCUCGGCUGUUCCGCCUCACGAGUCUCCGUAACUGUAACAGAUGCCUCCGUCCAGAAACAACUUUGCCAUGAUCUCACUGUCCAACUAUCAUAAGAGAGAACCCGCUCUUCCCAGUUCCACAAAGACAAAAACAACUUACCAGAAAUGUAUAUUCUGGGAACUGCUGAUGUGUUUGUGGUAAUACUACUGUCUUAUCACGCAUGGCUCAGGAAGUGCUUUCUCAUGUUCAACCAAGUCAUGGCACCAAUAAAAUGAAGAUGUUGA